rnacentral:tRNA from 1 species
UGCGGGAUCGUCUAAUAGUAGGACACGAGGUUUUGAACCUUGGAAUGUGCGGUGCAAUCCCCACUCCCGCAGCCA